rnacentral:rRNA from 1 species
UACGUAGGCAGCAAGCGUUGUUCGGAGUUACUGGGCGUAAAGAGUAUGUAGGCGGUCCCGUAAGUUCGGUGUGAAAUCUCCCGGCUCAACUGGGAGGGUGCGCCGAAAACUGCGGGACUCGAGUGCGGGAGAGGAGAGCGGAAUUCCUGGUGUAGCGGUGAAAUGCGUAGGUAUCAGGAGGAACACCGGCGGCGUAGACGGCUCUCUGGACCGUGACUGACGCUGAGGUACGAAAGCGUGGGGAG